rnacentral:tRNA from 2 species
GCCCCGGUCGUAUAGCCCGGUCUAGUAUGGCAGGCUGUCGCCCUGCCGACGCGGGUUCAAAUCCCGCCCGGGGCGCCA